UACGUAGGUGGCAAGCGUUAUCCGGAUUUAUUGGGCGUAAAGGGAGCGCAGGCGGCACGGCAAGCCUGAUGUGAAAGCCCGCGGCCCAACCGCGGGACUGCAUUGGGAACUACCGGGCUGGAGUGCCGGAGAGGUAGGCGGAAUUCCUAGUGUAGCGGUGAAAUGCGUAGAUAUUAGGAGGAACACCAGUGGCGAAGGCGGCCUACUGGACGGUGACUGACGCUGAGGCUCGAAAGCGUGGGGAGCAAACAGG
rnacentral:rRNA from 1 species